AGUGGAAACCAGGUAGAGAUGAAUCAACUCCCACAAGAGGACCCUGAGACUCCUAAUUGAGGAAAUUUGCACCUGGCUGUCCCCUUAAAAUAAGAUGGUAAUUUUUAGUGACCCCUCCCCAACCCCAGGGACAUAUUUGUACAAUAUUUAUUGACAAUUUUUUACCAUUGGUAAAACCAAAACUCUUUAUGUAUGUGGCUACAGUACUACCGUGAGGCAACUGACGUUUACAGCAGGGGACAAUUAUUACUGUAAUUGUUAACCCUCAAAACUGGUGCAGAAUCAUCCUGAAACUUCACAAAGACAAGCAGACAAGCAAUUGACAUAUUUAUCUUCAAUCAAACCCAAGUGCCAAGUGUCUAUCAUUGACAAAAUAUGGAAGGCAUAUUCCAGAUUCUUCGGAGCAGGCAGGAUGCAGGGCCUGCGAACAUAAUUGUAUUCAAUAGCUUCCAAAACCCUAAACGAGCUGCCACGGAAACCAUUAUCUCAGCCUCACAAUGGAUUGUCAGGAUCAGGAGAGCCAUACACAGGAGAGCCACACGCAGCCAUCCAGCCCAGGCGUCCUGAAGAAAAGGAAGCGAUAAAGUUAUGGAGGAGUAUUGGACAGGAGAGGGAGUGCCACACCUUCAGGAAGCCAGGGGUGACGUACCGUUAGCCGGGCCACGCAGAGCGCUUUGGCGGAGGGAUUCUCCAGCUGCAGCCUCUCCUUCAGCAGGUUGCUUCCAUAGGCAAAGUACAGGAAGGAUGCCUGGUUCAUGCUGUCAG